rnacentral:rRNA from 1 species
GGCAGCAUGAACUUAGCUCGCUAAGUAUGAUGGCGACCGGGGCGCGGGUGAGUAACACGUAUCCAAGCUGGCGAUGACUCGGGGAUAGCCUUUCGAAAGAAAGAUUAAUACCCGAUGGCAUAGUUCUUCCGCAUGGUGGAACUAUUAAAGAAUUUCGGUCAUCGAUGGGGAUGCGUUCCAUUAGGUUGUUGGCGGGGUAACGGCCCACCAAGCCUUCGAUGGAUAGGGGUUCUGAGAGGAAGGUCCCCCACAUUGGAACUGAGACACGGUCCAAACUCCUACGGGAGGCAGCAGUGAGGAAUAUUGGUCAAUGGACGAGAGUCUGAACCAGCCAAGUAGCGUGAAGGAUGACUGCCCUAUGGGUUGUAAACUUCUUUUAUACGGGAAUAAAGUGAGGCACGUGUGCCUUUUUGUAUGUACCGUAUGAAUAAGGAUCGGCUAACUCCGUGCCAGCAGCCGCGGUAAUACGGAGGAUCCGAGCGUUAUCCGGAUUUAUUGGGUUUAAAGGGAGCGUAGGCGGACGCUUAAGUCAGUUGUGAAAGUUUGCGGCUCAACCGUAAAAUUGCAGUUGAUACUGGGUGUCUUGAGUACAGUAGAGGCAGGCGGAAUUCGUGGUGUAGCGGUGAAAUGCUUAGAUAUCACGAAGAACUCCGAUUGCGAAGGCA